UUCGGGGAAUUAUUAAACUGGCGCACGGGUGAGUAAUAUAUAAGCAAUCUACCUUUAGGUUCGGAAUAACGUCGAGAAAUCGGCGCUAAUACCGUAUAAUGCAGCGGCAUCGCAUGAUGAUGUUGUUAAAGUUUUAUUAACGCCUAGAGAUGAGCUUGUAUCUGAUUAGCUAGUUGGUGAGGUAAUGGCCCACCAAGGCUACGAUCAGUAGCUGGUCUGAGAGGAUGAUCAGCCACAUUGGAACUGAGACACGGUCCAGACUCC
rnacentral:rRNA from 1 species